rnacentral:ncRNA from 2 species
GGAUGCGAUAGAGGCGCAGUAAGCAUUAGUAUCUGUGUGAUAAUGGAUGCCAUCCACAGGGUGGCGGACAGAGGGGAUUUUGUCCCGGAGGCCGGCGGGCCGGAGCACACAGGGAAAGGGAUUACUGCCGAAACGGAUUCUGUCUGCCGGCGGAAUGUGUUGGGAUGCAGUCUAACAGGCUGCGUACUCUCACUUUUUAAAGUGGUGGCGCUAUUGGCUGG